GCCAGGCGUUGUGGCAGGCGCCUGUAGUCCCAGCUACUUGGGAGGCUGAGGCAGGAGACUCGCUUGAGCCCAGGAGUUGGAGGUUGCUGUGAGCGUGAUGCCAUGGCACUCUACCCAGGGGGAUAGCUUGAGGCUCCGUCUCAAAAAAAAAAAGAAGAAAAAAAGAAAAAUUAGGUUACAAUGUCUGCAUUUGUUUUUUUUUGUUUUUGUUUUUUUUGAGACAGAGCCUCAAGAUAUCCCCCUGGGUAGAGUACCAUGGCAUCACAGCUCACAGCAACCUCCAACUCCUGGGCUCAAGUGAGUCUCCUGCCUUU
rnacentral:SRP_RNA from 1 species